AUUUGAUGGUGAAGGCAGCUUGUACAAAUAUUUUUGAACCUCUCCCAAUACUCAUAAAGGGUCUCCCCAAAUUGUUGCUUGAUGCCAGAAAUUUCCUGCCUUAUGGU